rnacentral:misc_RNA from 1 species
UCAUUAACGCGCAGGCCGGAGGCUGGCCCCCCACGAUAGGAAUCAACGUUCCAUCAGGGGUGUGCAGAUGUGCGCCGGUCUUACGCCCCAUUCUUGUCUACCUUACUCGGUUGCCUCGGCGGGCCGCGCUCUCCUGGGAGAGUCGUCCGGCGAGCCUCUUUGGGGGCUUUAGCUGGAUCGCGCCCGCCGGAGGACAGACAUCAAAAAAUCUUGGAAAGCUGUCAGUCUGAGCGUUAGCAAGUAAAAUUAGUUAAAACUUUCAACAACGGAUCUCUUGGUUCCGGCAUCGAUGAAGAACGCAGCGAAAUGCGAUAAGUAAUGUGAAUUGCAGAAUUCCGUGAAUCAUCGAAUCUUUGAACGCACAUUGCGCCCUCUGGUAUUCCGGGGGGCAUGCCUGUUCGAGCGUCAUUUCAACCCCUCAAGCCCGGCUUGUGUGAUGGACGACCGUCCGACCUCCUCUUUCGGGGGCGGGACGCGCCCGAAAAGCAGUGGCCAGGCCGCGAUCCCGGCUUCCUGGGCGAAUGGGCAGUCAAACCAGCGCCCUCAGGACCGGCCGCUCUGGCCUUCCCCCAAAUCUCUCUGAGAUAUUUUUUCAGGUUGACCUCGGAUCAGGUAGGGAUACCCGCUGAACUUAAGCAUAUCAAUA